GGAAGUAAAAGUCGUAACGAGGUUUCCGUAGGUGAACCUGCGGAAGGAUCAUUAUUGUAUAACCGAGGUGCGAGGGCUGUCGCUGACCCGAAAGGUCGUGCACGCCCGAGUGCCCUCACACACAUCCAUCUCACCCCUAUGUGCACCACCGCGUGGGUCCCCCUUUGGCUUGUUCGGAGGGGGGCUUACGCUUUCACACAAACUUUGUAUGCAGUGUAGAAUGUAUUUUUUGUUUUUGCGAUCACGCAAUCAAUACAACUUUCAACAACGGAUCUCUUGGCUCUC
rnacentral:misc_RNA from 1 species